UACAGAGGAGCCAAGCGUUGUCCGGAUUGACUGGGCGUAAAGCGCACGCAGGCGGUCGUGCGCGUGGGGUGUGAAAUCUGGCCGCUUAACGGCCAGGCGCCAUCCCAUACGGCACGACUGGAGGGCUGCAGAGGUCGAUGGAAUUGCCGGUGUAGUGGUGAAAUGCGUAGAUAUCGAGAGGAACACCAGUGGCGAAGGCGAGUCCCUGGACAACUCCUGACACUGAGGCACGAAAGCUAGGGGAGCAAACAGG
rnacentral:rRNA from 1 species